GCGCAUUUAGUGUAGUGGUAUAAUAGUACCAUCCCACGGUACUGACCGGGGUUUAAUUCCCUGAAUGCGCA
rfam:Ipomoea nil DNA, scaffold: scaffold0465, cultivar: Tokyo-kokei standard.